UACGGGGGGGGGCAAGCGUUGUUCGGAAUUACUGGGCGUAAAGGGCUCGUAGGCGGCCAACUAAGUCGGAUGUGAAAUCCCCAGGCUUAACUUGGGAACUGCAUCCGAUACUGGAUGGCUUGAAUCCGGGAGAGGGAUGCGGAAUUCCAGGUGUAGCGGUGAAAUGCGUAGAUAUCUGGAGGAACACCGGUGGCGAAGGCGGGUCUCUGGGCCGAAACUGACGCUGAGGAGCGAAAGCGUGGGGAGCAAACAGG
rnacentral:rRNA from 1 species